AUUGAACGCUGGCGGCAUGCUUUACACAUGCAAGUCGAGCGGCAGCGCGGCCUUCGGGCUGGCGGCGAGCGGCGAACGGGUGAGUAAUGCAUCGGAACAUGCCCAGUCGUGGGGGAUAACACUUCGAAAGAAGUGCUAAUACCGCAUACGUCCUGAGGGGGAAAGCGGGGGAUCGCAAGACCUCGCGCGAUUGGAGUGGCCGAUGUCAGAUUAGCUAGUUGGUGGGGUAAAGGCCUGCCAAGGCGACGAUCUGUAGCUGGUCUGAGAGGAUGAUCAGCCACACUGGGACUGAGACACGGCCCAGACUCCUACGGGAGGCAGCAGUGGGGAAUUUUGGACAAUGGGGGCAACCCUGAUCCAGCCAUUCCGCGUGAGUGAAGAAGGCCUUCGGGUUGUAAAGCUCUUUCGGCAGGAACGAAACGGUGGGCUCUAACAUAGUCCGCUAAUGACGGUACCUGAAGAAGAAGCACCGGCUAACUACGUG
rnacentral:rRNA from 1 species